GGGGUUGUGGCUCAGCAGUAGAGCACCUACCUCGCACGCAUGAGACCCUGGGUUCAAUCCUCAGCACCA
rnacentral:tRNA from 1 species